rnacentral:rRNA from 1 species
UACGUAGGGUGCGAGCGUUGUCCGGAAUUACUGGGCGUAAAGAGCUCGUAGGUGGUUUGUCGCGUUGUUCGUGAAAACCGGGGGCUUAACCCUCGGCGUGCGGGCGAUACGGGCAGACUGGAGUACUGCAGGGGAGACUGGAAUUCCUGGUGUAGCGGUGGAAUGCGCAGAUAUCAGGAGGAACACCGGUGGCGAAGGCGGCAUCCUGGACCGGCAUUGACGCUGAGGCGCGAAAGCCAGGGGAGCAAACGGG